UAGUGGGAAUAACGGGACAGAGAGCUCCGUCCUGGAGGGUACUGGGGUGUGGGCUGAAUUAAACCAAGCAGGACCCAGCAAACAGGACGGGUGGAAAUUUGCUCUUGAUAUUUUGAUGAUAACUACAUGAAUUCAGCAGAUGGGGCUUAAAGAAAACAUACCAGACCUCCAGAAACCUUGCAGAAAUACCUUGGAGAGCUGUAGAUGGAGAAUGGGUCUAAGCCCAGCCUAUCCCAGAAAUAUUACAAAAUCCUCAGAGACCCAGACACCAAUAAAUUAAAACAAACAG